rnacentral:lncRNA from 1 species
UUUUUUGCUAUUUUCCAAUAGAGCCCCCAAAGGUUUGGUGGCUCCCUCAUGUGUGUGGUUGCGGGGUGCUGCGGUUGGUUGCCUUAUUUUCUUUCUCCAUAGUGGUAUUGUUGCGGUUGCUUCCAGUUCGGCGGUGGUUGUCGUUGAAUUGGAAUUAGUCUUGGCGCGAUCACAAUUGCGGUGCUGUUGAAUUCGUACUCAAGAGUGGUUGGAAUCGAGGCUAACAUCAAGAUCCACGGUUGUUCCUUGGCAUUGGUGGCUGGUACAGUGUGUUGGUUGUCUGUUCUCGCUUGAGAUUUGGUGUUGUUGCACUAGUGGUGCGGCGACUGAAGCCGUCAAUGCUGUUUCUUUUUUCUACAUCGACUAUCGUUAGGUGAAGUACUCAUUGGUUCCAUGGUGCAAUAAUUGGAUUCUGUGGUAUUCACGUCGUGGAGUGCGGCGGUGCGAUAUUACCCUGUUCUGUCGACGAGUGCGUUUGAGCUGCGUUGUAUGUUGUAAAAGAGCAUAGUCUGGGUUUUCAAUAAAUCACACCUUCUUCAUUGACUUCUAAUUGCAACAUAGUUUUGGGAUUGAGGACGACGGCGGCAGGGUUCUGCGGUCAACCGCGUGAUCAAAGGCAAGCAAGGGUCGGACUAACCCAGUGGUUUGCCAUCUGGAUACUGCAUAGAAAAUUCAUCGAGGCCAGCUGCAACAUUUCACUUGUGCAACUCUGGUCUCUCACUCCAAUGCAAACUUGUCAACAAAAGGGGUGGAAGACAACCGUAGAGAUGGAGUACUACAGAAGUGCGAUUCCCUUGAGAGUAGAAGACCUUGAUUGAGCUCAAUAGAAGAUGUUGAUUUGCUUAAAAUAGAGUAGGUGGUAGAUUACUGCUAGAGUAGUUUUUUCUUCCCAUACUAUUGUUUUUGCUUGAAAGCAAGGCCGAUAGCUAGAACUCUGCAAGAGACCAAUUUACUGUGAGGAAAGAGAUCCGGUGUAUGCUCCAGUUGUGAAUCAGGUGGGAACUGAUACGUAGCAAGCCGCCAAUUAGGAUAGAGAGUUGUUCUCGGAAGGCAUGGAUUAGCUGUUGCAGACUAAUGUGAUUGACAUGGUUAUCACUUGGCAAGGCUUCCACGCUCAAAAAACUGAUAGCACAUCAGAAAGAGGGUUGCCAGUGACAAUCUUGGAGUGGACAUUGCAAAGUUUCUAUCACAUUGGAUUUGUGAUGAGGGCAUCAAUGCAAAUCAGACGUUGAUUGUAGAAGUGACAUGACUGCAUACUUUGCUACCAAGGGUGAGGUAUCACACUUAUUAUUGUCCCACCAUCAAACCUAUUAAUCGAAUUUACGUGCACAUACUGUUCCUGUGAGUGUGCAAUAGAGGUGUUGAUAUGUUGAGGUGGAAGGAGUGCUUUGAUGAGGCAGAGGUUCUUCUUCAGCGUCUGUUACCAAUUAGAAGAUUGCAAGGAGAAAAUAAGGUUCAUAGAAGAAUUUAGGGUUAAGAAAACAAUUAUUUAGGAUUUGAUAGUGUUAGGCUUUUGAAAUGAAUUACGUUGGAUGAAAUCAAGGAUGAGUUUAGAUCACGUUAGAUGAAAAUUUGCAAAUGAACAUUUGUUAAAAGAGGAUAAAUUCUCAUUUGUGGAUGAAAAAUAUUCAUGGAUGAAAAUUUAUUCACCAAUGAGGAAUUUUUUUAGAUGAACUUUAAUUGUGGAUGACUUU